GACUAGUUUUAUUAUUAACAAAUCAAAAAGAAAAAGCUAUCAUUUUUCUCUUCUCCUUCACCGAAAUAUGCAGCAAAGAAAGGGCUUUGAAGCUGGAAAAUUUCAGCAACAUAUUUCCCUUGCUUAUGAUGAAAAUCGAGAUUUGGACCUAGAACGAAAAGAAAUCGAUUAAGGGAUAAUUACGUCUUUUUUUUCACCUUUGUGGUAUCGAGAGUUUCCAGGUUAGCUUGGGUUGGAGGCCGUCAGAGAUAUUAUCACACUGUCAAGCUAACGCUAUUGGUGUAGUGAUCUCAAGUACUUUGAGCCUAUGGCAUGUAUAGGAGUUUAAAUAUUAGAGUAUGUGAUAUGGCUUUAACCAUAUGUGUUGGCCUAUUUGAUUAUGGGGUUGUAAAUCUAUUUUAAUUAUGCAUACAUGUGUUAUGGUAUUAUGUGAUGAGUUUAUAAUGAUUAUAGUAUGAAUGUGGUAAAGAUGUGAGUAAAA